CCCUCCUCUCUCUCUCUCUAUCUCUCCACCCUCAGCCGCCACACUUCUCCCAUCCAUUCCCCUCUCCUCUCCUCUCCUCUCCGGCGGCGGGUAUCGGCGAUGAAAGCGUGCGGCGGCGUCCUCCUCCUCCAUCGCCGCUCGUGGUGCCGGCUUACUCCUCCCUCACCGCUUACUGCGUCGCCUCCGUCUCCGCCGGCGCCAGGCUCGGGAGUGGUGGAUCUGCGGCCGACAGCGCUCCCGGGCCUAGGGCGGCUAGAUCGCGCGGCGGCAGUCCCCGGGCGGCUCGACGACGGAGCUCGCUGCCACGCCGUUUGUGCCGGCGGGCUCCUGCUUCGGGGUUUCUGGAGGCGCGUGGGGGUCCGUCCGCAGGUGUAGUCUGCAUACUGGCUCAAGUUCUGGCGGAACAUGAUGCGCGUCACUCUCAUCUACGAGGCGCACGCCGCGCGGAUGCUGGACCGCGGGACCCCAUCAACGCCAACCUCUACGUUAAGGAGCUCAUGCGCAAGAAGCUUCGGGAACUCAGGCACCGUUGCCAGGAGGGUUCGCUCGGGGACAACGUCUUCUGCGUGCGAGCCGACCUGCUCAGGAAUCUCGGCAACACGUGCAACUCCAAGAUCCACAACCGGUGGGGGAGGGGGGGCUGCAGGAGGAAUGGAUACAUGCAUCAGUCAAGGAAGGAGGAGUAUGAACAAGAGAGCAAGACAUGCAGAUAGGAAGACAUCAUUCGGCGAACCAACCAAACUGUGUGAGUAGUUAGAUGAUUUUUAAGCAUGCAUAUGUAUUCUAGACAAGUUGUUAGGUCUAAUGGUGCUGAGCAUCUGUUAGGUUAGGUGAUGGAGUGCUGAUGUAUUUGAUAACUGUAGGCAAGUAAGUUGCUUUAAUUUGAAAUAUCGAGGGAGUAUAUGCUAUGGUCUAUCGGAUAAUUUAUUGAUGUCUAAAUUAUCGUUUCUUAGGCCAACUGAUACUAUGAUAAGGAAAAAAAGAAGCAAAAACACAUUGUUCAUGAGUAAUUUUGUAAGUAGGAGUUUUGUUUUGGUGGUGCGCUUUCGAUAUAUCAUAUUAGGUUACUACCGGGGCUUUGAAUUUCAUGUUGUGAUUGUUCCUUCCUUACUCUUUACUUACUUCCCCUAUCAUAAAAAGAACCAAAUCCAUGUCCAGAUUCAAACUCAUGAUUGGGAUUUUUUUUUGGACAAAGAGAGUACGUGUCAAUGGGUGAUGGGAUGGUUAGCCCAUAACCUUGAGGUUGUGUGUAAAACCAUUUGUAAAAGAAGGUGAAAAGCCUCCUUAGGGAUGUUGCCGUCGGGCGCGUUGCCAUGCGGCAGAUGAACGGGCUGAAGCAGCAAUACAUAUGAACAUAAGGUGACACUGAACUUGCGACCAUUGUGCUUGUGGGAUGUUAUUUUGUUGUUGUUGUUGUGCUUCUGGUCGUUGUGCUGUUGCUGUUGUGCUUUUGGCCAUUGCGCUGCUGCUGCUGUGAUGCUAUUGCAGAUGUGCUGCUGUUGCUCUCGCUGUAGCAGGAAGAUGAAAUUUGAGACUUUGGAUAUGUAUUGAAUUGGUGGAUGGAUGUAAUGAUAUUGCAUUUUAAGACUUGUGGAAUGUGAAAUGCAUGUGAUAUUGCAA